GGUGUAGCAAUACACUGGUGGCGACCGGCGCACGGGUGCGUAACGCGUAUGCAACCUACCCAUAACAGGGGGAUAACACUGAGAAAUUGGUACUAAUACCCCAUAAUAUCAUAGAAGGCAUCUUUUAUGGUUGAAAAUUCCGAUGGUUAGAGAUGGGCAUGCGUUGUAUUAGCUAGUUGGUGGGGUAACGGCUCACCAAGGCGACGAUACAUAGGGGGACUGAGAGGUUAACCCCCCACACUGGUACUGAGACACGGACCAGACUCCUACGGGAGGCAGCAGUGAGGAAUAUUGGUCAAUGGACGCAAGUCUGAACCAGCCAUGCCGCGUGCAGGAUGACGGCUCUAUGAGUUGUAAACUGCUUUUGUACGAGGGUAAACGCAGAUACGUGUAUCUGUCUGAAAGUAUCGUACGAAUAAGGAUCGGCUAACUCCGUGCCAGCAGCCGCGGUAAUACGGAGGAUCCAAGCGUUAUCCGGAUUUAUUGGGUUUAAAGGGUGCGUAGGCGGUUUGAUAAGUUAGAGGUGAAAUACCGGGGCUCAACUCCGGAACUGCCUCUAAUACUGUUGAACUAGAGAGUAGUUGCGGUAGGCGGAAUGUAUGGUGUAGCGGUGAAAUGCUUAGAGAUCAUACAGAACACCGAUUGCGAAGGCAGCUUACCAAACUAUAUCUGACGUUGAGGCACGAAAGCGUGGGGAGCAAACAGGAUUAGAUACCCUGGUAGUCCACGCAGUAAACGAUGAUAACUCGUUGUCGGCGAUACACAGUCGGUGACUAAGCGAAAGCGAUAAGUUAUCCACCUGGGGAGUACGUUCGCAAGAAUGAAACUCAAAGGAAUUGACGGGGGCCCGCACAAGCGGAGGAACAUGUGGUUUAAUUCGAUGAUACGCGAGGAACCUUACCCGGGCUUGAAAGUUAGCGACGAUUCUUGAAAGAGGAUUUCCCUUCGGGGCGCGAAACUAGGUGCUGCAUGGUUGUCGUCAGCUCGUGCCGUGAGGUGUCGGGUUAAGUCCCAUAACGAGCGCAACCCCUACCGUUAGUUGCCAUCAGGUCAAGCUGGGCACUCUGGCGGGACUGCCGGUGUAAGCCGAGAGGAAGGUGGGGAUGACGUCAAAUCAGCACGGCCCUUACGUCCGGGGCUACACA
rnacentral:rRNA from 1 species